GGCUUGGUGGUCUAGUGGUUAUUGCUUUUGAUUCGUAUUCAGAUAGUCCUGGGUUCAAUUCCUGGCCCGUCCC
rfam:Aedes albopictus isolate Foshan contig10479, whole genome shotgun sequence.